rnacentral:rRNA from 1 species
UACAGAGGGGGCAAGCGUUAUUCGGAAUUAUUGGGCGUAAAGGGCGCGUAGGCGGCCGCCUAAGUCAGACGUGAAAUCCCUCGGCUCAACCCAGGAACUGCGUCCGAUACUGGAAGGCUUGAAUCCGGGAGAGGGAUGGCGGAAUUCCAGGUGUAGCGGUGAAAUGCGUAGAUAUCUGGAGGAACACCGAUGGCGAAGGCAGGUCUCUGGGCCACUACUGACGCUGAGAAGCGAAAGCAUGGGGAGCGAACAGGA